UACGGGGGGGGCAAGCGUUGUUCGGAAUUACUGGGCGUAAAGGGCGCGUAGGCGGCCUGCUAAGUCGGAUGUGAAAUCCCUCGGCUCAACCGAGGAACUGCAUCCGAUACUGGCGGGCUUGAAUCCGGGAGAGGGAUGUGGAAUUCCAGGUGUAGCGGUGAAAUGCGUAGAUAUCUGGAGGAACACCGGUGGCGAAGGCAGGUCUCUGGGCCACUACUGACGCUGAGAAGCGAAAGCAUGGGGAGCGAACAGG
rnacentral:rRNA from 1 species